rnacentral:lncRNA from 1 species
UGUUUUCGGUUUUUAUUUGUCAAUUGUCGAUUGCGGAGCUGUGUUUAGUUUGAAAAUGUACAGCGUAUGUUAUGUUACCGAAUUUAUUAGACAAUAUGAAUAAUAAAAUUUAAAACUUCUGAUAUAAAAUCGGACUUUUAUGUCAAUUAGUCACAUAACAACACGUGUUAUUCGGUUAAUUUCAGGAGAAACUGAUUUUUGAGUACGUCUUUUAGA